rnacentral:rRNA from 1 species
AGAGUUUGAUCAUGGCUCAGAUUGAACGCUGGCGGCAGGCCUAACAUAUGCAAGUCGAGCGGUAGAGAGAAGCUUGCUUCUCUUGAGAGCGGCGGACGGGUGAGUAAUGCCUAGGAAUCUGCCUGGUAGUGGGGGAUAACGUUCGGAAACGGACGCUAAUACCGCAUACGUCCUACGGGAGAAAGCAGGGGACCUUCGGGCCUUGCGCUAUCAGAUGAGCCUAGGUCGGAUUAGCUAGUUGGUGAGGUAAUGGCUCACCAAGGCGACGAUCCGUAACUGGUCUGAGAGGAUGAUCAGUCACACUGGAACUGAGACACGGUCCAGACUCCUACGGGAGGCAGCAGUGGGGAAUAUUGGACAAUGGGCGAAAGCCUGAUCCAGCCAUGCCGCGUGUGUGAAGAAGGUCUUCGGAUUGUAAAGCACUUUAAGUUGGGAGGAAGGGUUGUAGAUUAAUACUCUGCAAUUUUGACGUUACCGACAGAAUAAGCACCGGCUAACUCUGUGCCAGCAGCCGCGGUAAUACAGAGGGUGCAAGCGUUAAUCGGAAUUACUGGGCGUAAAGCGCGCGUAGGUGGUUUGUUAAGUUGGAUGUGAAAUCCCCGGGCUCAACCUGGGAACUGCAUUCAAAACUGACUGACUAGAGUAUGGUAGAGGGUGGUGGAAUUUCCUGUGUAGCGGUGAAAUGCGUAGAUAUAGGAAGGAACACCAGUGGCGAAGGCGACCACCUGGACUAAUACUGACACUGAGGUGCGAAAGCGUGGGGAGCAAACAGGAUUAGAUACCCUGGUAGUCC